rnacentral:rRNA from 1 species
UGCAGUCGAACGGUAACAGGGAAGCAAGCUUGCUGCUUGGCUGACGAGUGGCGGACGGGUGAGUAAUGUCUGGGAAACUGCCUGAUGGAGGGGGAUAACUACUGGAAACGGUAGCUAAUACCGCAUAACGUCUCAAGACCAAAGAGGGGGACCUUCGGGCCUCUUGCCAUCGGAUGUGCCCAUAUGGGAUUAGCUAGUUGGUGGGGUAACGGCUCACCUAGGCGACGAUCCCUAGCUGGUCUGAGAGGAUGACCAGCCACACUGGAACUGAGACACGGUCCAGACUCCUACGGGAGGCAGCAGUGGGGAAUAUUGCACAAUGGGCGCAAGCCUGAUGCAGCCAUGCCGCGUGUAUGAAGAAGGCCUUCGGGUUGUAAAGUACUUUCAUUGGGGAGGAAGGGAGUAAAGUUAAUACCUUUGCUCAUUGACGUUACCCGCAGAAUAAGCACCGGCUAACUCCGUGCCAGCAGCCGCGGUAAUACGGAGGGUGCAAGCGUUAAUCGGAAUUACUGGGCGUAAAGCGCACGCAGGCGGUUUGUUAAGUCAGAUGUGAAAUCCCCGGGCUCAACCUGGGAACUGCAUCUGAUACUGGCAAGCUUGAGUCUCGUAGAGGGGGGUAGAAUUCCAGGUGUAGCGGUGAAAUGCGUAGAGAUCUGGAGGAAUACCGGUGGCGAAGGCGGCCCACCUGGACGAAGACUGACGCUCAGGUGCGAAAGCGUGGGGAGCAAACAGGAUUAGAUACCCUGCUAGUCCACGCCGCUAACGAUGUCGACUUGG